ensembl:lncRNA
GUCCCGUGGAGUUCUUUUUCCUCUUCAAACUGACGUACGCGAGUGAAUCACGGGAAAACUGGUCUCACGGCUUACACAUUUUGUAGGAAAACCUGCUCGUUGUGGAUUAAUUGACGCGACUAAAGAAGGAAAAAACCCGAGCUGCUGCAGCGACAACAAACGUGAGUGAUCCAGGUGAUUGAUAUAUGCAUUUUAUAUUUCUUUUUUUUUUCUGCUCAUUCUGUUGGUUUUUGUUUUUUGCCCUUCUCCCCCGUCCCUCUUCUCAGCUGUUUCUCUUUCCCUCUUUCUUUCUCCCCUUCUUUCCCCCAGUCAAGUCUGUCCCGUAUUCAGUAAAUGAAAAUAAAAUAAACAAUAAAGGGUGAAUCAAAUGGACCAUUACGGCAAGGCUGGGAUGGUCAAUUUGGUAAAGUAAAUCCGUUGGGCAUCUUUCUUUGCCUUUAGACAACAAUUCUGAUGGCAAAAGAGCCAAACGGGACAGGCAAAAAAAAAAAAAAAAAAAAGGUAUGCUCCCAGAUAACAAAGCAUAUUAAAAAUAAAUCACUUUUAAUGAGGAAAAAAAAAAAGAAAUUGUGAUUCUUUUUCCCAAGCUGAGCCACCACGAACAAUUUUAGGACUGCUGAUUUCUACUUGAACCUCUGAAGGUACUCUUUUUUUUCUGUUUAGAAGCAAAGGCACUGUGAAAUGAAUGGACCCACACAGGAUGGGAUGUGGUUAACACUUUAUUUGAUUGCAAUAAAUCUUUUCUGGUUUCGCACAAUCUUUGUAGCCAGAAGUCAGCUGUCUCCAUGGCUUCCUGCACUACACGCUGCCCUCCACAACCCCCAGGCCCUUUGUCACUCUAGUUCCUCCCCCUCCACUGCAGCAGGCCAGAGACCACACCCCUGCCACAGUCACCCUCUACAAUAUUGGAAAAUAGAGCUUUUUUUUUUUUUUAAUUUUCCUUCUUUUUUUCUCUGCUCAUUUUCUACUACUAACAGUACUGUUCUCCUGGCAACUGCCAAACCCGGAUUCGCCUAUCCAAUUGCCAGACUGAGAAGCAUGAUUUGUCAUUCUAGAGAACACAUCUCCACUGCUCUAGAGUCCGGUGGCGGUGUGCUUUACAUCAAUGCAUCUGACUCUUUGCUUUGCAUUUGGGGAUGCACGGCUUGGAUGCAGCUUUUUCCUUUGUGUGUGGCUUUUUCUUUUUUUGUUUUUUGUUUAGUUUCUCUGAGCAAUGCACAUUUUGACCUUAGGGAGAGAUUUUCUGGGAUUUGCACGCCUAGGAAGAUUGGCAUGUUAAGUGUGUUCCAAUUAUGAGCAAUCCUUCUCACUGUAGAAUAAUGGACUUCAGGUUGUUUGACCAUUUCAAAAAUGCUGCUUAGUAGGUCUGUUUUUAUUUUAUUUUUUUUAUUUUAUUUUUAUCAUCAAUUAGCCAAGACUCUUGGUUACAGUACAAUACUUAUUUUCCACCCUAAUUUACGAAUAAAUUCUUUACAAAUCCUACCAUGUGAAUUCAUGGAUUUUUUUUCACAUUCUGUCUCUCACAGUUGAAGUGUACCUCUGGUGCAAAUUACUGACCUCUGUCAUC